CCCAGGGCGACUUCACCACCACUCAGCCACUGCCUGCUGUGAAGGUGAAGCUGUUUACUGAGAGCACAGGAGUGUUAGCUCUGGAAGAUAAGGAGCUGGGGAGGGUUGUUCUCCACCCGACUCCCAACAGUCCUAAGCAGUCUGAACUCCAUAAGAUGACAGUGUGUAAAGGCUGCUCAGACAGUGACCUCAAGAUCAAACUGGCCAUUCGCAUGGACAAACCACAGAACAUGAAACAUUGUGGGUACCUUUGGGCCAUUGGCAAAAAUGUAUGGAAAAGAUGGAAGAAAAGAUUCUUCGUGCUAGUCCAG